GUAGGUGGCAAGCGUUGUCCGGAAUUAUUGGGCGUAAAGCGCGCGCAGGCGGUUUUUAAGUCUGAUGUGAAAGCCCACGGCUCAACCGUGGAGGGUCAUUGGAAACUGGAGAACUUGAGUACAGAAGAGGAAAGCGGAAUUCCACGUGUAGCGGUGAAAUGCGUAGAGAUGUGGAGGAACACCAGUGGCGAAGGCGGCUUUCUGGUCUGUAACUGACGCUGAGGCGCGAAAGCGUGGGGAGCAAACAGGAUUAGAUACCCUGGUAGUCCACGCCGUAAACGAUGAGUGCUAAGUGUUAGGGGGUUUCCGCCCCCUUAGUGCUGCAGCUAACGCAUUAAGCACUCCGCCUGGGAGUACGGCCGCAAGGCUG
rnacentral:rRNA from 1 species